rnacentral:rRNA from 1 species
UACGUAGGGUGCGAGCGUUAAUCGGAAUUACUGGGCGUAAAGCGUGCGUAGGCGGUUCGCUGUGUCCGAUGUGAAAGCCCCGGGCUUAACCUGGGAAUGGCAUUGGAAACUGGCGGGCUUGAGUGUGGCAGAGGGGGGUGGAAUUCCGCGUGUAGCAGUGAAAUGCGUAGAGAUGCGGAGGAACACCGAUGGCGAAGGCAGCCCCCUGGGCUAACACUGACGCUGAGGCACGAAAGCGUGGGGAGCAAACAGG